rnacentral:rRNA from 1 species
UGGGGAAUUUUGGACAAUGGGCGAAAGCCUGAUCCAGCCAUGCCGCGUGAGUGAAGAAGGCCUUCGGGUUGUAAAGCUCUUUUAGUCGGAAAGAAAGAGUCGCAAUGAAUAAUUGUGAUUUAUGACGGUACCGACAGAAAAAGCACCGGCUAACUACGUGCCAGCAGCCGCGGUAAUACGUAGGGUGCGAGCGUUAAUCGGAAUUACUGGGCGUAAAGGGUGCGCAGGCGGUUUUGCAAGUCAGAUGUGAAAGCCCCGGGCUUAACCUGGGAAUUGCGUUUGAAACUACAAGGCUAGAGUGCAGCAGAGGGGAGUGGAAUUCCAUGUGUAGCAGUGAAAUGCGUAGAGAUGUGGAAGAACACCGAUGGCGAAGGCAGCUCCCUGGGGUUGACACUGACGCUC